CCUGAUUAUAUGUAUUAUCAUUUGUGGUAAUAAUUGAACAUAUAUGCAAGAUGUUACAGUCCUGCGCUAUCAUUAAGAGCUUGAUAAGAUACUACCAUGUAUUUUGAUGUUAGAAAAAUAUAUAAAUAACCAUGUUUUUCAAAUCUACAGCAACGUAUUUACAACAUAUUUGUGACCUUUGUUGUUACUUUGAUUGUUCAUCUUCACUUAUUUGUAGCAUUUCUGAUUUCUGGAUGGCAACUAUUUCAUUUCUUUACAUGAGGUUUACUCUAAAUAGCAACAAAAAACUGUUUUAAUAAGCAAUGUACAUUUUCUCUUCAUUAUUAUGUCAAUCUUUGUGCAGAACCAAUGGCAGCGAUGACAGCAGGAAGUGUAUUUUUGGCCGUCUUUCUGGUGCUAUUUCCUGUGGCAGUUCAACUGUCAUCCGGAUGUGUUUCCUACUCAAUCAAAGAAACAUGUGGCUUUAGGGGCUCAUCGGUACGGCUUCGCUGCUCCUUCAAAUGCAAGAAAAGUCGAGUUCAGGAUGGUCCAGAAAAAUGAUCUCUAACGGGACACUUGAACCCUUGAGCCUGAUGCCAGCUUAUUCGUCUCGAAUGAUGAACCGUAAAUGUAGAAAAAAUGACUGCACGAUGAACCUGACUAACUUAAAAAUUACUGAUGCAUCCACUUACUAUUUUGUGUACAACUUUCGAAAUGCUUCUGGUGAUAUGGUGACAUGCAAAGGUAUGCCCGGUGUAAUGCUCCAAUUUUCUGCGUCUCCAGUAAGAAUCGUGGUAGACAGGUUCCUUAGUGGUCAGUAUGUGCCUGUUGCAGAUUUGAAAGUGAUGAGGGGUCAGAAGAUAAUGCUGACUUGUGUCCAGACCUGUCCUGCAAAUCGAAUACAUAAUUCAAAAUACACCUGGUACAAGAACGGCCUGAAAAUCAAUGGCAGCAGAGCAAACUCUCUGCAUUUGGACGCAAUCAGAAUUGAAGAUACAGGCAGUUACGUCUGCGAUGUGAUUGGCUACAAAGACUUCUCCUCGGUUGCUGUCAAUCUCACAGUCCAGGGAUGUCACUGACACACUGAGGGGUCUCGAGUCCCUGAUCCUGGCCCACUCAUAACCCCCACCGAUACUCCCAAAAGCAAAAGCAUGUCUCUGUUCUCUGUAAUGUAGUUUGUGUGUGCAUUGGAUUGGUAACAGUAAUCAUUGUGGGAUUACUAAUCAGAGCAAAGAAGAAGAAGAGAAGACAACAUGGACUCUAGAUACCAUGGCUCUGGAUAUUAAUACCAUGUUGAGUGAUUAUGAGACAAUGAGACCCUGCCCUUCUGCUGAAACUGUUUAUGAGAACUGACACCACAACUCUCUGGGAGUUUUUAAAGCAGCCCACCAUCAGCGUAAUAUGUAAUAUUCCAUGUAAAGUGUUUAUUUUAUUAUAUCUAUAUAUAUAUAUUUAUUAGAUUUGCCUUUUCCUUCAUGUGUAUUAACUUGACUUGAGAGCAUGAGGUAAUCUUCAACCUUGAAAAGUGAAACCUGAAUUCCUUCUAAUUGUCAGAAGGGGGCGACUCCACAAAAGAGUGCAAUUGUAAAAGUAAAUAAUCCUAUUUAUCAUUUAAUUUAUUACUCAUUAAACAUUGACAUGAA